GGAAAAAUAAGUAUAUCUUUUGGAAAUAAAUUUAUUUUUUUUUUGUGCGUUACUUAGAGAUUUCAUACCAUUUUUAUGCCACUUUUCUCGCAUCUAGAAUCGUUCAAGCAUUAAGCUUUUAUGGACUACGGAGCAGCUUAUUUCUUUUUAAUAUUACUUAUUUGGUUAUGCCGUCGAAUGUAAACAAGAGCGGCAAAUAUGGCGGCAGCCAUUUCAAAGCCCAGCACUAUCCGCGAUGAAAUAUAUGAAUGGUCGAAGGGUGGAGAUCAAUUCACUGAGACUCUCACCUAAAAAUUCUUAUGGGACGGAGUCGAUACCGAAUCUUUUAGAUAGAAGUAUAAUGCAGUCUUUCUUCUUUUCUUUCUUUUGUAUGGUAAACUUGGUGGCUAAAUUUUGGUUGCCCCUUUCCACUCAAAUGGAGUGCUGGGGGAGCUGUGCUGGGCCGGGGUUAAAUGCAAAAUGUAGAGGGGGCGGGGAACAGUUUAACUUAG
rnacentral:lncRNA from 1 species